GUGUACUUCAUAUCACCUACAGGAGUCAUAUUAAAUAUCUUCCAAUCCUUAAGCACCUGAUGGCCAAAACUGGAAAUAAACACAGAGGGACAUGUGACCUCCAUCUUCAAGUUUGAAGAGUAAGCCAAGCAAGAAACCAGCAUGAAGCAGGCAGCAGGAUGCUUUACUGUACUGUCGAUGUACUGACGAGGCUGCUAAUUGAGGAAUUGAAGUUCUUCUCCAUAACGGGUACUGCUCUGACUGGCUCUGGGUUCGACUCCAGUGAGGGAUCAUUUUCCGGGGAUAAAGUUGACCUCAGCACCAUCUAGUGUCGGGUUGUCAUGGAGGUGAUCAUGAAUGUUACCGGGCUUAUGGAAUGCGAUACCCGCCAAGUUUUGGUACAUAGGAACCAACAGUUUAAAGGAAUCUUCUGCUUCCAUGUUCAAGGAGAUUUUCAGGCAUGGCAGAGACAAACAGCUACUUCCAUAAAGUCGGAAAUCGAGAGAUUUUAAGCAGAUGAAAGAAAGGAAGGCAUUUUGAUGACAUUGAUGACAACAGGAGUAAUACAACGAGAGCUCUAAAGGCCAUUCCACAAAACCUGUUCCAAAAUUGUGUUGAGGGGUGGACUAGGCGCUGGCAUCGGCGCAUAGCUUCCCAAUUUUUCCUACUGCCGACGUAUGCAUUUCAAAGCAUAAUUACACACCGAGAGGCAGUGUACAAGUAUUUCCUGUGAGGUAUGAACUCAACUAACUAACAACAUGGA